GGUCAGUCACCGAAAUCGACAGGUAAGGCUGCGACGAGGAAGAUCUAGGGCUAUGGGAAGACCCCGACGAACUUCUCUGAGCGGUAAUCAUGGCCUAAUUUCUCACUGGAAUCAAUAGGACAUAAAUCAGCGGGCUGUUUCUUUCUUAUCCGAUAAGUAAAUCGGAGGGGAGUGAAUUGAUGGCUCUGGCUAACGUCCGAGAAACGCCGGAGUGAGCUGUUCCGGCGAAUAAAAGGCAGAGAGCAACCGCAGGUCCUUCGUCAACUGUGAGUCGCGUACACGCAGCGUGCACUUCAAUGAGACAGAAGAGAGAUUGGUUAAAGCUGUGACAUGUAAC
rnacentral:misc_RNA from 1 species